UACGUAGGGUGCGAGCGUUGUCCGGAAUUAUUGGGCGUAAAGGGCUCGUAGGCGGUCUGUUGCGUCGGGAGUGAAAACUCAGGGCUUAACCCUGAGCCUGCUUCCGAUACGGGCAGACUAGAGGUAUGCAGGGGAGAACGGAAUUCCUGGUGUAGCGGUGAAAUGCGCAGAUAUCAGGAGGAACACCGGUGGCGGAGGCGGUUCUCUGGGCAUUACCUGACGCUGAGGAGCGAAAGUGUGGGGAGCGAACAGG
rnacentral:rRNA from 1 species